rnacentral:rRNA from 1 species
UGCCAGCCGCCGCGGUAAUACGGGGGGUGCAAGCGUUAAUCGGAAUUACUGGGCGUAAAGCGCGCGUAGGCGGUCUGGUCAGUCGGAUGUGAAAGCCCCGGGCUCAACCUGGGAAUUGCAUUCGAUACUGCCCGACUAGAAUAUGGAAGAGGGAAGUGGAAUUUCCGGUGUAGCGGUGAAAUGCGUAGAGAUCGGAAGGAACACCAGUGGCGAAGGCGGCUUCCUGGUCCAAUAUUGACGCUGAGGUGCGAAAGCGUGGGGAGCGAACAGGAUUAGAUA